GGGGGCUUAGCUCAGCGGUAAGAGCGCUCGGUUCACAUCCGAGAGGUUUCGUGGGUUCAAAUCCCUCAGCCCCCACCA
rnacentral:tRNA from 1 species